CCAAUCCUGCAGAAGAUGGUCCAUCAGCUUCAGCCAAUGGAGCUGUGGAAACUCCUGAUGCUGAAGCCAAGGAGUAAUAAUGUUAAGAUAUAAGUUCAUGAUUGCUUGCGGAGAUGCCAAGAACAAGGGAUGUUUGUUCAAAUCCAUGUACUUGGUGAACAUUGUUUUACAUUUUAGUUUUUCUUCCUCAAUGUAAUAUAGUUCUGUUACGGACAUGCUUUACCAUUCAAUAAAUCUUUAUGUCGAACUAAGUUUGCAGUAUCAAACUUGUUACAUGUCUUAGUUAAUGUCGGUGGUGUAUACGGCCAUCAAUUGCUAUGGGUUUAGUAAUAAAUCAUACGUUCAGUUUUUGCUCAUUGAAAUUAAUUUUUCUUCUAAGCUAUUCUCCAAUAAAGUCAAA
rnacentral:misc_RNA from 1 species